rnacentral:rRNA from 1 species
CAGUCGCCGCGGUAAUACGAACCGUGCGAACGUUAUUCGGAAUCACUGGGCUUAAAGCGCGUGUAGGCGGGCCGCCACGUCGGCUGCUGAAAUCCCCCGGCUCAACCGGGUAACGGGCACCGAUACGAGCGGCCUCGAGGGGGGUAGGGGGGUCUGGAACUUCCGGUGGAGCGGUGAAAUGCGUUGAGAUCGGAAGGAACGCCCGUGGCGAAAGCGAGGCCCUGGACCCUUUCUGACGCUGAGACGCGAAAGCCAGGGGAGCGAACGGGAUUAGAUACCCCGGUAGUCCCUGUCUCUUAUU